rnacentral:lncRNA from 1 species
AUGACCCAGAUGAUCAUGAUGAUGAUCACUAAUCUAGAGCCAGACAUCUUGGAAUGUGAAGUCAAGUGGACCUUAGAAAGCAUGACUAUGAACAAAGCUAAGGGAGGUGAUGGAAUUCCAGUGGAGCUGUUUCAAAUCCUGAAAGAUGAUGCUGUGAAAGUGCUGCACUCAAUAUGCCAGCAAAUUUGGAAAACUCAGCAGUGGCCACAGGACUGGAAAAGGUCAGUUUUCAUUCCAAUUCCAAAGAAAGGCAAUGCAAAAGAAUGCUCAAACUACCACACAAUUGCACUCAUCUCACAUGCUAGUAAAAUAAUGCUCAAAAUUCUCCAAGCCAGGCUUCAGCAAUACGUGAACCAUGAACUCCCUGAUGUUCAAGCUGGUUUUAGAAAAGGCAGAGGAACCAGAGAUCAAAUUGCCAACAUCUGCUGGAUCAAGGAAAAAGCAAGAGAGUUCCAGAAAAACAUCUAUUUCUGCUUUAUUGACUAUGCCAAAGCCUUUGACUGUGUGGAUCACAGUAAACUGUGGACAAUUCUGAAAGAGAUGGGAAUACCAGACCACCUAACCUGCCUCUUGAGAAAUCUGUAUUCAGGUCAGGAAGCAGCAGUUAGAACUGGACAUGGAACAACAGACUGGUUCCAAAUAGGAAAAGGAGUACGUCAAGGCUGUAUAUUGUCACCCUGCUUAUUUAACUUAUAUGCAGAGUACAUCAUGAGAAACACUGGACUGGAAGAAACACAAGCUGGAAUCAAGAUUGCUGGGAGAAAUAUCAAUAACCUCAGAUAUGCAGAUGACGCCACCCUUAUGGCAGAAAGUGAAGAGGAGCUAAAAAGCCUCUUGAUGAAAGUGAAAGAGGAGAGUGAAAAUGUUGGCUUAAAGCUCAACAUUCAGAAAAUGAAGAUCAUGGCAUCUAGUCCCAUCACUUCAUGGGAAAUAGAUGGAGAAACAGUGGCUGACUUUAUUUUUUUGGGCUCCAAAAUCACUGCAGAUGGUGACUGCAGCCAUGAAAUUAAAAGACACUUACUCCUUGGAAGAAAAGUUAUGACCAAUCUAGAUAGUAUAUUCAAAAGCAGAGACAUUACUUUGCCGACUAAGGUCCAUCUAGUCAAGGCUAUGGUUUUUCCUGUGGUCAUGCAUUGA